UACGGAGGGGGCGAGCGUUAUUCGGAAUUAUUGGGCGUAAAGGGCGCGUAGGCGGCUGCACAAGUCAAAGGUGAAAUCCCUCGGCUCAACUGAGGAACUGCCUUUGAAACUGUGCGGCUUGAGGCCGGGAGGGGGUAGCGGAAUUCCCAGUGUAGCGGUGAAAUGCGUAGAUAUUGGGAGGAACACCAGUGGCGAAGGCGGCUACCUGGACCGGUUCUGGACGCUGAGGCGCGAAAGCGUGGGUAGCAAACGGAGUAGAUACCUACCG
rnacentral:rRNA from 1 species